rnacentral:rRNA from 1 species
AGAGCGAACGCUGGCGGCAGGCUUAACACAUGCAAGUCGAGCGGGCGUAGCAAUACGUCAGCGGCAGACGGGUGAGUAACGCGUGGGAACGUACCUUUUGGUUCGGAACAACACAGGGAAACUUGUGCUAAUACCGGAUAAGCCCUUACGGGGAAAGAUUUAUCGCCAAAAGAUCGGCCCGCGUCUGAUUAGCUAGUUGGUGAGGUAACGGCUCACCAAGGCGACGAUCAGUAGCUGGUCUGAGAGGAUGAUCAGCCACAUUGGGACUGAGACACGGCCCAAAACUCCUACGGGAGGCAGCAGUGGGAAUAUUGGACAAUGGGCGCAAGCCUGAUCCAGCCAUGCCGCGUGAGUGAUGAAGGCCCUAGGGUUGUAAAGCUCUUUUGUGCGGGAAGAUAAUGACGGUACCGCAAGAAUAAGCCCCGGCUAACUUCGCGCCAGCAGCCGC